rnacentral:rRNA from 1 species
UGGGGAAUAUUGGACAAUGGGCGGAAGCCUGAUCCAGCCAUGCCGCGUGUGUGAAGAAGGCCUUUUGGUUGUAAAGCACUUUAAGCGAGGAGGAGGCUACUUGGAUUAAUACUCUAGGAUAGUGGACGUUACUCGCAGAAUAAGCACCGGCCAACUCUGUGCCAGCAGCCGCGGUAAUACAGAGGGUUCGAGCGUUAAUCGGAUUUACUGGGCGUAAAGCGUGCGUAGGCGGCUUCUUAAGUCGGAUGUGAAAUCCCUGAGCUUAACUUGGGAAUUGCAUUCGAUACUGGGAAGCUAGAGUAUGGGAGAAGAUGGUAGAAUUCCAGGUGUAGCGGUGAAAUGCGUAGAGAUCUGGAGGAAUACCGAUGGCGAAGGCAGCCAUCUGGCCUAAUACUGACGCUGAAGUACGAAAGCAUGGGGAGCAAACAGG